rnacentral:tRNA from 1 species
GGGGCGGUAGUUUAGUUGGGAAAACGCGGCGUUCGCAACGCCGAGAGCGCGGGUUCGACUCCCGCUCGCUCCACCA